rnacentral:rRNA from 1 species
GGUUAAGUUAGAAAGGGCGCACGGUGGAUGCCUUGGCACUAGGAGCCGAUGAAGGACGGGACUAACACCGAUAUGCUUCGGGGAGCUGUAAGUAAGCAUUGAUCCGAAGAUUUCCGAAUGGGGAAACCCACUACUCGUAAUGGAGUAGUAUCGAUACCUGAAUACAUAGGGUAUUUGAAGGCAUACCCGGGGAACUGAAACAUCUAAGUACCCGGAGGAAGAGAAAGCAAACGCGAUUUCCUGAGUAGCGGCGAGCGAAACGGAAUAUAGCCCAAACCAAGAGGCUUGCCUCUUGGGGUUGUAGGACACUCUAUAUGGAGUUACAAAGGAACGGGGUAGACGAAGAGAUCUGGAAAGAUCCGUCGUAGAAGGUAACAACCCUGUAGUCGAAACUUCGUUCCCUCUUGAGUGGAUCCUGAGUACGGCGGGACACGAGAAAUCCCGUCGGAAGCAGGGAGGACCAUCUCCCAAGGCUAAAUACUCCCUAGUGACCGAUAGUGAACCAGUACCGUGAGGGAAAGGUGAAAAGCACCCCGGAAGGGGAGUGAAAGAGAACCUGAAACCGUGUGCCUACAAGUAGUCAGAGCCCGUUAAUGGGUGAUGGCGUGCCUUUUGUAGAAUGAACCGGCGAGUUACGAUCCCGUGCAAGGUUAAGU